rnacentral:lncRNA from 1 species
UUGACCGUUGCUAUCACUCUGCUGAGUUUGAACUUGGCAAGGUGUGCUUGGUAUGGAAACCUUGUGCUUGAAAAAGUGCUUCGGAGUGUGUGUGGAAAAAUUUAUCCACAUAAAAGCUGUAUUGUGGAGACUGAACAAUUACAUAUGUUACCUGUUGGAAUGCAGGAGCAUCCCUAGUGGCAGAUUAAGAGCAGGUUUGUAUAUUUUCAGAAGGUCAAGGAAUCUGCAUCUUCAAAGGAACUUCCUUCCCUGCAGCUUAUCAAUCAGACAUUGGGUUACACAAGAGAGCUGGAGCAGGUUGUUUAGGACCUGCGGUAGUGCAUGGUGGUUUGCAUUGGUAUUUGCACUUUUUUUUUUUUUUUGAUCUAAGGUAUUUGCACACUUUGAAGAUUGGUUAUUUUAUGCUGAUGGCAUCUCAUCCCUUUUGCUCUUUUUGAGAAAUUUGAUACUUAUUUUUAGUAUUCAUAUCCAUUUCAUUGUUGAAUACAAUUUUGUAUUUGAUCAGUAGUAUAUUUUCCUUGGUUUACCUGCUUGGAAGAACCAGAAACCGAAAUCAGUCUAGUCAUAUGGAGAUGGACAACUUGGCGAAUGUAUACGUCGUUCUUAAUCAGUCUAAACCUAUGAAUAGGCCUAGAUACAGUUAGGUUUAAUCUGUUAUGGUAGAAUCGAAUAUAUGUACACUUGGUGACAUCAAUUGUCUCCAUUGGUCAAAGAGUUGCAAAGCAUUGACAUAGGAAGGCCAACUAGGGUUGCUUGUGUCCAGUUCAAUUUUUAGUUCAGUAGGUUGAAACAGCCACCGGCUGUGGGCUUGUGCUUGCUCCUGAAUGAUGGUAUUCCGAAGAGACGGCAUAUGACAAUCAUAUAAGAAAUUUCUUUUCCCCUUAUCUUUUCCUAUACUCCAGAAUGAGCUCUGUGAACAUGUGAUUUCGCUUCCUACAUUUGCUGCAUAAAACUCUCAAGACUAAGCAGAAUCAAUGAAUCUGGGAUUUGCAAUUUGGUGGAGUCUUGAGUGAUCCAUGAUGUAGCCUUUGCAUGGUAAAAUCAUUGCUAAAUGUUGUUGCCCCUCUCUGAUAAAUGAUGUUCCUCCUGCUGCGAAAGAACAAUGAAAGUCAUCAUUAGUUUGCUUAAUCGAUACUUCUGAAGGAUCGGGAAAGAGCAAGAGGAGGAAUUUAAUGGGUGGGUAUGCAAUAAUGGUCCGCCUCUUCUGAAUCAUGACGUUAUGAUGAAUUAACUCCUUGCUGUUAGGAUGUUACCAUCAUUGAUGGAUCUCGUCAUAUCUUAUGAUGAUGUAAUACUGAACAUUCGAGGAAUUCCCAACCACCCAAAUGUUUCCAAUUUCUUAAUACUUAUUUUCUUGUUUAUUCAUUCCAUUUUUUUUUUUCAAAUUACCGUUGGCUUUUCUUGUUUCUUUUCAGUAGGCCCUUCUGCUCCACAUUGCAAAGACUUUGCCACCUUGCUUUUCAUUGGGUUUACAGGAUCUUUUGCAAAACUGCACUUUCACUGGAUUUGCAUGCACAGUGGACCACAGCGAAUGCUUGAGACUUAUAUAGAAGAUGCACGACAUAAGUUAGAGUUGGUUUAUGGUGAGAAAGAUUAAAUGUCAUUCAGUUGCUGAAUUGAAUGUGGAAGCCUCACAUCACCUGCCUUCCUAAAGAACUCUUUAGUACUUAAUGAGUGUGCUGUUAUUAUAAGUGUGAAGAUGGAUGAUCAAGAUGCCCCUGAGCGAGAUUUUUUUCAACUGAAGCCUUAUUAUACAGAUGCAGGGUAACUUUUGUCAUGGCAUUGCUUAAAAUUGUUUGUUCAUACUCAUGUCACGUGCAUUUGCAGACACUAUAAGGCAUUAGACCUGAAUUGCUAGAUUAUGAGAAAGAUUUCUCAUCCUUAUUGCUUUAUUGACCAUUUUGCACUCAUCAUUUUUAUGUAGACUUACUUGAAAAUUCUUAUGGUUGAGCACUAGCCGUAUUCCACCAUCUCCUCAAGAGUACCCUAUUUUAGGUCUCAAACAGACUAUAGUCAGUUUGAAGAGAACUCAAAGAACUCGGAAAAUAAUUUAAAGUGUGUAGCUACAUUUAAAGAAAAGUAUGUGGAACAUGCUCGGCUUAGACAACUCCAAUAAUUAAUGCAGUCGACUCUACAAUUUCUUUUUUCUCCUGAAGGGAAAAUUCAUUUAAUUUUUUUUUUAGGGAAAAAGAAAGAAGUUGGCUCCGCACGGUACUAAGCGAAUUAAGGGGCACUCACCCCGCAAUUUACAUAUAGGCCCCUCCUUUGAACGCACUCUGUACGCAAUACAAAAGGAAAAGAGUCCCGAGCACUCAAACCGGUCAAACCUUUAUGUGCAGUGAUAAGGCCUUCGAGAUAGGAAAUUCAAUCAAAAUAAGAAGUUCUCCAGUAAAGGAAAUUCUCGCUCCGAAUUGAUGAUCGUCGAUCGUCGCGAUCGAUCCGAUUGAGCUCCGAAUUGAGAUCACUGCUACUGCACCGUCGCUCUCCUCGUCCCCAAUUGCAAAUCGCUUCAGGUUCGUCGGUCCCGAUUUCGUCCUCUUUUGUUUCGCACUCGACGGUUCUCCAGUCCUUCAACCUGUCUCCCGUUAUCAAAGAUUUGAUUCUUUUUGCUGCAUCUGGGUGUGAAUUUCUCCCAAUUUUCUCCCUCUUCCUGUGCUUGAAAGAUUCUCGAGCGAGUGAUGUGGAACGUCGUCUGCUUUUGCUUGUUUUGUUGAUGCUUUCUAUAAUCUCUCGUUAUGGCUGUCUGCACUUUUUCUUUUUCUUUUAUAUGUAUGUCGUUCCGGCUCGGGCAUGCGUCGACCCUUUUUGUAGAAUGAUGUGAUGAAUGUUCAGGCGGAUAUGUCGGGGCAUGUAUCUGGUCAGUCGGGUGCUCAGUUGCAUGGGGUGUCCCAGCAAAAUGGCAACGUCAUCCCAAAUAUGGUAGCUGCAGGCAGCGGCGCUUCUCAUGCUGCGUUUGGCGUGGACAUGGAUACUCUUGGAGCUCGGCACUAUAUGCAGGAGAAGAUGUAAUUUAGUUUAGAGCACUUGUUCUUGUGCUUUAACCUCCUGGGUUCCACUGGUCCUUGUUUGCUGAUUGAACUUUUUACUGUCCCUUUUAAGCUUUUUUCUCUUAGCACAGCAGCAUCAGCAGCCAAUUGAUGAUUCUCAAAUACAUAAGCUGAAAGAUAUUGCUCAACGCCUGGAAGACGGUCUCUUUAAAUCUUCUCACUCAAAGGUCCCAUUUCUCAUCAUUUCUCUCCUCUUCUUCUUUGUAGAAGUACAAGAAGCGGCUUAUGAUUGCCCUUUAUUGAGUUUUUUUUUAGUGUUUUACAUUUUACAUUUGCGAAAGCCAAUAAUCUGUUCAUUUCUCUUGCCUGGUUUCACCUAUUUUUUCUCGUUAUUAUCAGUAUUUCCUUUCUUUUUGGUAAAUAGUACUUGACAUUCUUUUGCUACUUGAAAAUUACAAUCAUGUAGGAUGAGUAUAUGAAUUUAGGCACAUUGGAGUCCCGGUUGCAUAGUUUGAUCAAGCGUCCACCUCCUAAUAAUCAAAAUCCAGUCAAUCCUAAUGCAAUGACGGUGAUGAUUCCAACCCUUGGAUUGUCGCAUAAUGGGAGUUCGACCAUGAUGGCGAAAUCUUCAGUGGAUGCCCCUAUGAGUUAUAUGGCUGGGAAUAGCAGCAUGCAGCCAACAAAUGCAAACACAGGAAGCCUUAUGUCAGGCCUUAUGCCAAACAGAAUUUAUCCAAAGGCAUGUGCUCUCUAUAAUUUCUUGUUAUGGUUGUCUGCGCCGGUGCCUGGUGGUAUUGGGUGUGGUUUGUUCACUGUGAAUAGAGUUUUAAUGUAUGUGGCACAAGCUCAGGCAUGUGUAGCGAGUUUGAAUGAUUACAGGAAGAGUGAGAGCUUUUGUAGAUUGAUGUGAUGAAUGUACAGGCAGAUACGUCAGGGCAUGUAUGUAGUCAAUCGGGCACUCAGUUGCCUGGGGUGUCCCAGCAAAGUGGCAAUGUUGUCCUGAAUUCAGUGGCUGCAGGCAGUGGUGUCCCUCAUUCUGGGUUGAGUGUGGACAUGGAUCUUCUUAGAGCUCGGAACUAUAUGCAAGAGAAGAUGUAAUCUAAUCUAGAGCACUUCUUCUUGUACUUUAACCUCCACAGUUCCAUUGAGUCCUUGUUUGCUGAUUGAACUUUUUACUGUCCCUUUUCAGCUUUGUUCUCUUAGCACAGCGGCAUCUGCAGCCAAUGAAUGACUCUCAAAUUCAGAAGCUGAAGGAGAUUGUUAAACGCCUGGAAGAAGGUCUCUUUAAAUCUUCUCGCUCAAAGGUCUUCUUCCUCAUCAUUUCUCUCCUCUUCUUCUUUGUAAAAGUACAAGAAGCAGCUUAUGAUUGCCACUUAUUGGUUUUUUAUUUUUAUUUUUAUUUUUUAUUGUUACACAUUUUACAUUUGCGAAAGCCAAUUAUUUGUUCAGUUCACUUGCUUGAUUUCACCUAUUUUUUCUCGUCAUUAUCAGUAUUUCCUUUCUUUUCUUUAUUAUUAUUUUUUUUUGGUGAAUAGCACUUGACAUUCUUUUGCUAAUUUAAAAUUACAAUUAUGUAGGAUGAGUACGUGAAUUUAGGCACAUUGGAGUCCCGUUUGCGUAGUUUGAUCAAGCGUCGUUCUCCUAAUAAUCGAAAUCCAGUCAAUCCUAAUUCAACCAUAACAAUGAUUCCACCUCCUGGAUUGUCGCAUAAUGGGAAUUCGACCAUGAUGGUGACACCUUCAAUGGAUGCACCUAUGAGUAAUAUGGCUGGCAGUAGCGGCAUGCAACCAAUGAAUGCAAAUGUGGGAAGCCCUACGUCAAGUGGUGUCAUGCCAACACAGGAAGCCUUAUCGGAAGCCUUAUGUCAACUUGAAUUGUAAAUGAACAUUUUCAUUCAGAUGUAGGCCUUAUGCAGGAUGCGUUGUUAUGUUUUGAAAGUUGGGGUAUAAUUUGAACGAUUUUUCUUUCCUAUUUCCCAGUAUAUCGAUGAAGAUAUAAACACCCACGCACUUUCAUUUAGAAAAAACUACAUAGGCUUCAAACAGAAUUUACUGGCCCUGAUGAUUAAACAUUCACUUGGAACUUAGACAAUAAAAAGAUGAGAAUGCAAAACGGUAGGGGAUUCAUUCACAUUUCAGAAAAUGUUACGGCUAGAAAAUUCAACUUGUCAUUUCCUAUGAUUGAACAAAAAGAAGCACGACAUACCUAACCUGUGGACUUAGCAUGUAAGAAUGAAUCGCAUUAAGUACCCCAGCUACUAAAGAUUUUUCUAGUGAUCAAACAUACUUGCUUUCAGAGUAAAUCCAGCAUUAGAUAAAUCGCCAUCUCUGCACAUGAUGCUGCAUUUCCCAUGACGUCACCUGGAAUUCUGGCUACUUUUAUUCCAUUUUUGGUGGCAACAUUGAUAUCAACACCUUCAUGAAGAUGUAAAUGUUGGGUACUAAAUUCAGUUAAAAGCUAAAAGAACAUAGUGAUAAUAUUGACAAAUAAACCUAAAUAAACCUAAAUCCCCCUGCCCAACAUACACAAGCAAGCAGGGGUAGACACCAUUUAGACCGACACCAAAUUGUAGUAUAAGCUUCAAUUGUUUCACUCAAGCUAUAGUAUCUGACUCGAGGCGCUUGUUCUUCACCAUCUCCUAUAACAUGAUGCACAUCAUCAGGGGCUACCUAAUUGACCUACAAAAAUGGAAAAUGGAUGAAUGGAUGAUCUUCAAGGUGCAGGUAGAGACAAAUUUGGAAACAUAUGAAACAGUAAGUCCUUACCCUGCCCAUCAAUUGAAGCACACUAAUUAACAAGCAUAUAUUUACAUUUAAACAUAAGACCAAACCGAAUGUGCAAAGUUGAAGAUGCUCUUUUAUUGCUAGUUUGUUAUUUAUCCAAAGGCAUGUGCUGGCGACAAUCGGAUCGUUUCAGCAAGUUUAAAUAGGACCCCCAACAAGAGCAUAUUGGUUUUUAAUUCAGCCUAGUAAAAAAUUUCAUCACCUACAUCAGUGUCUCAAAGUAUGCAAUUCUACUAUGUUACAAUGAUCAAAGGCAGAAAUGGGAUAUUACUUUCAGUGCAGUAGGUAGUUGAAAUCUGGCUCUACCGAUGAAUGCGAAAAUAAUUGGACGGCAUCGAGACCUCAAAGUUGAUGCAAUCAAAAUCCCUUCAUACCACUCAAAACACAUCCAGCUAACUCCAUCAACCACUUCCAAAUGAGAAAGAGCAACAUUAGGUAUUUCCCUCCACUUCCUUUNNNNNNNNNNNNNNNNNNNNNNNNNNNNNNNNNNNNNNNNNNNNNNNNNNNNNNNNNNNNNNNNNNNNNNNNNNNNNNNNNNNNNNNNNNNNNNNNNNNNNNNNNNNNNNNNNNNNNNNNNNNNNNNNNNNNNNNNNNNNNNNNNNNNNNNNNNNNNNNNNNNNNNNNNNNNNNNNNNNNNNNNNNNNNNNNNNNNNNNNNNNNNNNNNNNNNNNNNNNNNNNNNNNNNCACAGACCCUGUCACUGGAGCAACAACUCUUCCUUGGGAAAGGUAUUCUAUCUGAGGAAUAAAUCAAUCUAGGAAACCAUUCCACUCGUACCACCACGUGAGACAAAUGAUGUGACAUAUUUCAUUGGUAUGAAUCUUAUCUUAUUCGACUGUCGCUUGAAUGUAAUGAAAAAUCCCACAACUCAUCACGACAUCAGGUGCAUAUUCAUGCUAUGGCAUUGGAGAAAAAACGUAUUCUCAUCGUCCUCCAACUCACAUUGAAACCUUUCUUCGCGAGUUUGAAGUUUUUUCGACCGGAGCUCAAUAGGUAGGAUUAUAACAUCAGGACGAUUGAUCAACUUUAACACCAUCCACCCCCCCCCCCCCCGGGCCUGUCCUCAAUUCUCCAGCAGCUCGAUGUGGUUCACGAUCAUUCAAACCCAGCAGCACUUUUUCUUCUACUGCGUGUUCCCCAAUAUCAACUUAGUAAGAAUUGAAUACCAGUGAUUUUCCAGUUCCCAGCACUUUGGCUUUCCUAAGAUAUUUAUUUGCCAAGACUUUCCUACUAGCAUCAUAUAGUGGGACCUGAAUGAUCCAAGGGGGAUGUAAUAAUGAGCAGAAAAGUUAUUCCAGGACCUAUAAAGAAGGGGUGCUUAGGGCCUUAUAACUUUUUUGCGUAGUGAUAUGCACUUAGUGUGAUGCUUGGGUCACAUAAUGAACCAUUAUCUGAAAAGAAAAUAAGUGGUUCAUGUUGGAUCAGCAAACAAAGUAGCCAGCCCAGUUUAAUCUAAAGAACAGUGGCUUAAGGAUGAAAACAUCCUUAAAAGUGCUUCGGAAUGACCUGCCUCCCUAGGUAUCCGCGAACUUCAAGCUGCAAAAAACCAUCAUGGUAUUUCUUGGCCUUUUGAGUUACUUGUGUGGUGUACAAAACCUGCCGUUCUACAUGACAGGGAAGUGUCAAUCUCCAAGUAGGACAUGCUCAGUUAAACUAACACAAAAAUAAAGGAAGGACACUGCCCACAAAAGAACAUUCACAUUCUCAUGUGUGUCAGAAACGACUGAAGAAAAAUAAUGAAUCUGUUAUUGUAUUCGUUAUUUCCAUAACCUCAAGCUAAAAGAAGGCAGUAAAUCCACGGCAAUAUCAAGAACAUAGUCAGCUGGUUAAUGAAAACUUCAUUAGAAAAUUUAUUGGCAAGUAGAACGAACAACUUGCUAAGUAAUGAAAACUUCAUAAGAAAAUGUAAGCAUAAAGAAUAUCCUGAGGAAUCCAUGUAACUCGGUUCAUUGCCCUCCUCUUUUGCAUGAAGUUCUCGUACUUAUGAGUCAUUCUUAAGUACCUAGAGCACAGUGCUAGAGCUAGGAAAAUCUCAAGAACGUAACCGGUCAAGGUGAAUUAUGGAUUUUUCAAAUGAAUGGACACACUCAGACCUUCUGUGAAGCACAAAGCUGAAAACUCAAUAGAUGCAGUGAUAUGGGGGGUAGUGGCGGCCUUUAUGAAANNNNNNNNNNNNNNNNNNNNNNNNNNNNNNNNNNNNNNNNNNNNNNNNNNNNNNNNNNNNNNNNNNNNNNNNNNNNNNNNNNNNNNNNNNNNNNNNNNNNNNNNNNNNNNNNNNNNNNNNNNNNNNNNNNNNNNNNNNNNNNNNNNNNNNNNNNNNNNNNNNNNNNNNNNNNNNNNNNNNNNNNNNNNNNNNNNNNNNNNNNNNNNNNNNNNNNNNNNNNNNNNNNNNNNNNNNNNNNNNNNNNNNNNNNNNNNNNNNNNNNNNNNNNAGUAUUAACUUCAAUAAAACAACGAAUUGAUUCAUGGCAUCUGCAAGUUCAAGGCCUUGCGGAAAUCAUCCCACAUCUCAUGAACAUCCCUUGGACUUGCAUCCUUAAAGCUCUGAAUCACAAUGUGUUUGCAAUAUCAUUCUGGUGAGUAUGGAGUAUCACCCAAUUACAUCAAUUGCAGAGCAGCUGAAUGAUAGGGUCCAUGGGAUAUAAACAAUGAGGGAGAAAUGUUAAUAAUCUAUUGGAAUUUUAAGACUUUAGGUUAGGAGGCAAGGUAUAUUACCUUCAUACAAAGACUAAACAUGUAAAAUAAACACUUUAUAGAACACUAGGAAAUGAAUCGAAUUGAACUGUAUUCCGGGUACCUUUUAAGGCAAAUUUAACAUUAAUAACAUUAUGCUGCUGCUUUUGCAUAUUAAUUUUUGAAGAGAAUUGAAACUGUUUCCACACGCAUUUAGAUCCCUAAAAAAUUCAUCGUUUGCUUCAUUGUUGCCACGUUCAACCAAAUGACCAAGAAAUUCCAUCAUCUCCCCAGGGCUUACUUCUUCAGCUUUGUUCAGGAACCUGCCAUCUAAAUGUUUCCAGCUCAUAUCAACAAGAAAACCUCGUAAAAGACCCAAAUAAGUUUUCAAUCAUCUGAGCCAUAUUUAUCCUGACAAAAAUUUUUCACUAAUCUGCUGAGAAAGGUAUACGUCAUGAAGAGGAAAACCAACUGAUAAAGGAAGGAAGAGCUGAAAUUUAAUCCAGCAACAACAUAGCUGGUAUUAUCUAAGGGUAAAAAUCAGGAGGAGAUGAAGACUGUAGAGCUUGACCUGCCUAGUCAUAGAUCCACUGCUCGUACAACUUAAGAAGCCAUCAUGACAUUUCUUCGACUUUUGAGUUAAUUGAGUUGUAUACAAGGCGUAUCAAUCUACAUCAAAAGGAAUAUCAUGUCAACUGCAGUGCCGAGACAACAAUAACACUCUCGAAUAUAACUGCAUAGAGAACAUUGAGACCAUUUUUCUAAGGGAAGUUUGGAUAUAUGCUAAAAAGCUCCAAUGAUUUUCAAGAGAAGCCACGAAAAUAUAUGAAACCACCUUGAUUGAGAAGAAUUAAUAUACGAAGCAUCAGAGCUGAGAGAAUCUUUAUUGAUCUUGAAAAGACUCUGUAUGUAAUAUAAAGAUGUGCAGAAACUGUAUCCCAAGGAAAAUCAAGAACGGAUUCACAAUCCAAGAGAUACAUCAAGAGAAAGACACGGCCUGGCAUGGGCAUAGAUGAGUCAGCAAAAGUCCAAACUCACCUGUCAUGCUUGAUGUCCUUGAGUUCGGACUCGCCUGCAAUAUGCCAUAUCUGUUCAUUUCAAAAAACAUAACAGAACGCGUGCUAAGUUGUUGUCACCGGCAUUUACAUUACUCUUAAGAUUCUUUUAUGUGUGCUUACGUUACUCUUUCCCUUUGAACAACAGCGAUGAAAUUGCUGGAUGGAGCGAGAAAGCAUAUGAUUAGAACUUUCAACCUUGUCCUUGUGUUUUACAGAAUGCGGAUGCGUGAAAUGUUCGUAGAGGAUGGAGUCCUUUCUCAGCACUCCGAAGCACCACCUACGAUAUACCUUACCAAGCACGCUUCCUUCACAAGAUUUAUCCGUUGGUUUAUUAGGACACAAAAUUUGGUGUUGGCUCGUGCUUAGUAACUUUCUCUCAGUUUCAGAAGCUAAGAAUCUGCGAUACUACAUGACGAGUGGCUUAAAUGGCAAAAUGUCUAUAGGCUAAAGUUGUAUGACCCAUUUUCUGGUUUAACUACCAUAGCAUAUUGCACGUAGCAAGAUUGGUCUAUCAGACAGAAAAUUCAUGAGUUACAGAACAACUUUUCUUGUUCUUCGGACAUCUUGAGGACACGAUCUUUUAUGACUGAUUCUCUUAUGAAUUGACAUUAUAUCCCCCACAUGAACAUCCUGUACCCGUUGGCAACCCAAGGAUCCACUUUAAUUUAUACUCAUGUUGAGAGGAAUAGGAGAACUGAUAUCGAGCGAUAUUCAUGAACAACUGUCUCUUCAAGGCUUUGUUUAGCAUGCGGAAGGCAAGAAAGGACUGCAAGCUAUACAUGUUCUUGGACGAGAACUAAGUAGAACAGGGGAUAAAAGAAAGUGGAGAAACCCAUAUCACAGUUUCUUUGCACCACAAGUAUGACCUAUGCUGUAUUUGUUAUGGUAGCUUAAGCUAGCUUAAGAUUUUGAGAAUAAUUUAAUGCAAUAAGAAACCGAAUGAAAAGAAAGUCCUGAUAAAAUCACAAUUUCUACAAGGAAUUCCUUUGGAAGAUUGUUGCCGCUCUAUAGUUUAUUGUUCACUCUUGCCUGUUAUUACAAACAGGAAAGGUAAAUAAUAAAGAAUGUUGUGGAAGCUGAGACACUGUUUCCUCUUGGUAAUUAUAUAAAGAUAGGCUCACAGUUCAGAAAACACAGCUAAAACUGGGCAGCCCUUGGAAGGAACAAAUAAAAUGGCUUAAGCAGCUAUUUAUCACAGUCACAGGCUGCUUGACCCUCAGUUUGAUCACUAAGAAGCUGCUGUUACAUGAUCUGCAUGCUAAGACACAGCUAAAACUGGGCAACUUUCAAGGGCUGGGUAUAUGUUAUCUAACGGAGCAUCUAAACCGAGCAUCUUUCUCGAUAGGAAUUGAACAAGCAUUGUCUACAAAUGAACAGUCUAUGAUGCAACUUUGACCUGCCAUAUAGAUAUUUGAAGACAUGAGAACAUACACAGUAUUAUUUCUGCUUCCUCAGCCGAAUUUCUUCACCAUGCGUUCACUUAUCUUAAUUUUAACUAAUAUCUCAGAUCAACGUGGGUGGCCUCUUUCCAUUUUGAUAUGUAAGCACAGUGAACCUCAAUAUGUUGAAUAGCGCUGCAAAUACAUUGAUUAUGUCGUAUAAAUAUGAAGUGUUUCAGACCAAACACCUAUAAAUGAACUUGGCACUAAAACACUCCCCAUAAAAACAAGAGCUCGAUCGUACAAAUUUCAAAUGCGAUAGGCACGAGAUUUUUGAGCACUCCAUUCAGAUUCUUGAGAGUAGCAAUACAGUCAAUUGAGCAAUGACCAUUGUUCAAAAUCCAAUAUCAAAACUGGGACACUCAGCCGUCACUUUCAAUUGAUCCCUAUCUCCUUCAGGGGUCUUCAAUUCAUCAUCAGCAUCACCCCAAGAAUGCGUGAAAGAGAUGCUUUUGAUGCAAGGCUUGUUGCCACAACAUUUGGGGUCAGCUUGCUCGUGAGAAGGCUGGAAGCGAUAAUUGGACCAGAUGUAUAUGCUAGUCAUACAGAAUUCAAUGCAAUUGAGAAUGUCCACUAGGUGAAUACAGAACUAGAUUUUGGUUUCCUACCAGCAGUUGCUACCUGCAGCUAAUUUGUUUCCGCUUGUAUCGUAGUCUGCACCAAAGAGUUUCAACAAACAUCAAAACUCGUGAAGUUCUAAUGGAGUUUUAAGAUGCUUAUAGUCACAUCCUUGCCACCAAUGGUUAAAAAAUGGAGCUGAAAGAAUUGAUUACCGUAAAUUUAACAGUACAAGUAGCUGUGGAAUAGGUGGGAGUUGCCAAUUUCAAAUCCCCCCGUAGAGCGAAAUUCAUUGAAAUCAGAGGAUGAUUCAGAUGAAAUUAUACAAUGUAGCUAAGGAAACAUAAACUAUGAGAAAGCUAACAUUAAAGUUAAAAAAAAAAAUAAAAAAAAAACGCUGAAUUGAAAGAAAUCAUGGCUAAACCAACCUUUUUAGACUUCAUGGGGCCAUGAAACUUUUCAUUGCCGAAGUUAUCAGUUAGAUUUCCAUUGUCCCAUACUCCAUCAAAGCUAGUUUAGCAGCUGGCGCUCUGUCUUUGAGCAGCAUCAUAAGAAUUAUCUGAAUGCUGAAGCUCUUCUAUUAGUGAAGCAAAACUUCCCUUCCUCUCAUAUAACUUCCCCAAUAGCAACUUGAUCUAAUGGUUUUCGGAGGACGGAUGAUAUUUGAUAGGCUGCAUCGAUUGGAUUACUAGAGCUCAUUUGCAAGCUGGAGUAAGUAAUACAACAUAGGUUCCUCCAAUAAAUAUGGGAGUUAACUUUGGAGGAAAUGCAAAAUAAAGGGGGACAGCAAUGCAUCGACAUUAAUACGGCCGCUCCCAAGCUUAGUUUAAUGACAUUCUUCUUUAGGACUAGGUUCAUGAAAAAAUCUAUCCAUUUUGUAACUCCUUUAUCUGAAAAGAUAUUUUCGUUUUACUUGUUAAAUAUCUAAAUUAUAUAUUGAUGACAAUAUCAAUUGUAUUCUCUAAUUCAUUUAUGGAAAGUUGUUUUUAGAUUCUUUAUUUAUCACUAAUGUAUCAGUUUGGGGUUUUUUUAUGGUAAAAAAAUUAGCUUGGAAUAAAGUUGUCACUUGUAUACCAGUUUGAAGUUUUUCGUGAUGUUAACCAUUUGUUAAAAGAUCCAGUUAAAAGUGAAUUAUUUAAUCCUUGCAUUUGAGAACCAAUUAUCACUUUAUCAAUCAUACGCGCUCCGUCCUUUUGAAUUUUCACUAUAUGCUCUGUAUCAAACCUCAUCAAUCAAUUACAAGUUUAAAUUGUAUAGAGUUGAAAUAACUCUCACUUCAAUUGGUGUCAAAGAUAUAUUUUUUUUCCAUAAAUAUGAAUAAAUAAUCCACGCAGAUGAUAGGGGAAAAUGAAAUGAACAAAAUGGGCAAAUUGCAGAAUAGAUAAAUUAUGAUAGUAUAUACUCGAGCUUCGAAACUAUUACACCCAAUGGCUGAAAAGAGAGAAUCUAAGUUUCAGUUCAUCCUUGAAAAAAAAAAUGAUAGGCUCCUACAAAUAUGAUGCAAUCAAUUUUAGAGAUGAUUGUCAUGUAAGCUGAGCUUCAGCUAGAAGUCUAACUUGUUGCCCAAGUUUGGGAUCCACAAUUAUAGAUGCAACUUUCAACUGAGUGGAUCCUCAACUCCAUUGUUAACAAAUGAAUUGAUAAUGAGCAUAGAGGCCCAAAUUCUUCAAAGCCAUGGUGAUUUCCUUUUCUCAAGCAUUCUUUCUUGAACUUUGAUCAUCAAUUCUUUCCACAAGAGUUUCUCUUCUAUUACAUCCAAAUCUCCUGACUCAUUGAGGAUCUUACUCAUGCUAAAUGCCUUUUCUCAAAUAUGCUGAAAAUAAAGGAUUAAAUAAGGUACCAUGCUGGUGUAAAUUACUUUUCAAACAAGUGACGAUAAAAUGGAACCUCAAUGGAAUGCGUUCAUUUGUUAAAAUUAAAUACAAUAUACAUGUCAACACUAGAAUUGGGCUUGUUUAAUGAUUUCUUUACCUAUCAUCAGUGUACAAAAUAAAAGUGAGAAACAAGUAAUGACAGAUACAGAAAUGUUCAAGCUCCGCACUCGGGAGCCACUCCGGAUGUUCCUUCGCCUUCUGGAAAUAUACAAACCCACUAGGGAUGGUCCUGCAUUCCAACAAAUAAAGAAAUGUUCAGGCACCGCACAACUUUUGACCUGGAUGAAUUCUUCAGCACACUAUGAAUCUGCUGUUUGCUAUCUACAUCGGCACUUCUUCAAGCACGAGGUUUCCAUACUGAGCCUACCUUGCAGGCCAAACAACACGUAGAUGUGGUAAGUGUCGGUUUUAUAUCUGUCCGCAGUACCACAAUAGGAUAAACUUUCCUAACCCUUGAAAAGGAUAUAAAUUAGCAACCCCAUAGAAGAGGUUUCAUGAGACCCUCCUAGGCCUGAACUGGUGCUGGAGAGUAUAUUAUCCUUAUGAGCGAAUUAGUCAAUUUAAAAACAGAAUUCCAGGUAGAGAAAAGCUAAAAAUUCCCUCAUCGCAGGAGAACAGCAGCAUUUGCCGUGCGUCGCCAAUCGAUACAUAAUCAUUUGCUUUUUCGCUACAUCCAGCAACUUCAUCUCUGUUGUCCAAAGGGAAAGAAUAAAGUAGGCACGCAUAAAAAAGAACGUCUAGAUAUACAAAGAAAUGAAUUACUCAUUCCGCAAGCAACACGCCGAUUUCGGUUUUUAGCCACCCCAGUUUCUACUAUCGCCCGCCCAUUUCGUCAAACAUCUGACCAGCGCUACGAAACGCUCGGAUCUUCUGCCCAUUCCAUUGCAGCUUUCAUGGCGACGAUUUCAACGCCACGAGUGAAGAUUCUCGCUUCUUCAUAUGCUUCCCAUCCAGCGUCUUUAUGGAGAAGCAUGGAAUUCGCUCCACCUCCUCUCGCGUGCCCUUCGCCCUUCACCUUGUCAUCUCCCGGCGCGUGGGAGAACUUCCGCAAUCUUCCAUGAGCAAGGCCCGAGUUUUUCCACUCUCCACCAGGAGCGAAACGACGGAUUCCCCCUGAAUUGAAGUCCACGAGGAUGAUAGGGAAAAUCAGGCGAACGAAAUGGGCAAAUAGCAGAAUGGAUGGAAUUUUUAUAACGAAUACGUCAUGUCAACUUCGAAAUAACCGACCAAAAAAAGAAAAACUUCGAAAUAAUUGCACACAGAUGGCUGGGAAGUAGCCUAGCGUUCUUGCGUAUGCUGCAAGGGUGGCUUGACUCAAUAGAGAAGACAGAGCGUGAAAUAAAGAAAUAUAUGAAUUCGAUUAGUGCGCGUGCGUACGGUUCACUUAUUAUUAGAUAAAAAAUAUAUAUGAUAUAAAUUUAUUCAAAAUUAAUUUUCUGACUAUAAAAUUCUAAAGUGAUAUGCUUGUAAUAAAUUUACCCUAAACUAAUUUUUAACUACGAAAAACCUCAUAUUAGUACAUCUGUGACAAAUUUACCUAAAUAUCAAAAAUAAAAAAGUAGUACAUUUAUGACAAAUAUACCAUAUGUUAAAUUAAAUUAAUAUCAUGAAAAAUCACAAAAAUUGUACAAACUGUGACGAACAUAGGGUAUAUACCCAUCAACUAUCAUUUAUCAGCCAACUUAAUAAUUUAACAAUAAAAUUUAAUGAAAACUAACAAAGGAUAAAUAUAUCACAACUAUAUUGGUUUAGGUUUUUUUUUGUGGUAAAAAAAUUAGUUUGGGUAAAUUUAUCACAUGUGUACCAAUUUGAGGUUUUUUGUGAUAAAAAAAAUUAGUUUUGAACAAAUUUGUCAUAAGUGUACUAGUUUAGGAUUUUUCGUGGUCAAAAAAUUAAUUUUGAAUAAAUUUGUCACAAAUGUACAAAUUUGAAGUUUUUCCUAAUAUUAAACUUUUAUCAAAUUAAAUUGAUAUUUCUUGGGAAAAAAAGAAAAAAGAAGAAGAAAAUUGGCUCCCAUCUAGCUCUUGCACCUUAAAUUAAAGAGAACAAAGACGCAUUCAGUUGAAAUUAAAUUUCAAAGAUCAAAUUGAACAUUGAUUAAGAAUUUAGGGACCAAAUUUGAUAUCACCUUCCCAUUUAAAUCUGGAGCCCACUGACCGAGUGAACUUUUAGAAUUAAAAGCUACUAAACACUUGCAUGUCCACCUUCCUUUCGCGCCAAUGACUCUUAACAAGACAUCGAAGCCUCGUGAAAGCUGCAUUAUCAUAGAGCACUGCCAUUCUGAAAUUUACACACUUUGUUCGUUUCAUUCUCCCUCUCAUCCUUGUGAGCUUUGAUGGCGGAAUCUAUUAUUCCACUCACUGUGGAAAAUUCUCACAACUCGCUCGUAGAAGAUGCGAAACUCUUGCGGGUUUGGUGACGGGACAAGCAAAGGGCACGCGAGAGGAGGUGGCGCAAAUCCAGUGCUUCUCGAAAGACGCUGAUGCGAGACUAGACGAAGUGGGAGUCAUUCCUUGUGGCAUUGCAGAUGUCAUCGUCAAAGUCGAUGCUAAACCAAAGAUUAGGGAAGAUCCGAGACUGAUAGCGCAAACCAAGGACAGCGGUACAUCACUGUCGUGGACCAAGAAGUAACCUUAUCGCAUUUUCAGAAUAUGCUCAAAGCAUAUGCCUUUUGAGUCAUUAAAAGCUCUAUCUCGCACAACGCUAAUUAUUACUAUAUCCACAUUAUCAUCAAAUUACAGGCCAAUUAAGUAUCUUGAUAGGUGGGGUCCAAAUCAUGCAAAACAACAAAAGAUUCGAUUUCAUACAAUUAAGAAAUUUGUACCUAUUUUCUUUCCCUCAGUGAGGAAAAAGAAACCAUUAAAAAAGGAGUGUGGGACACCUGGAGUGCCAUAACUUGGCACACCGGGACACUUAAGUGCCAUAACUUUAAAAUGGUACACUUAAGUGCCAUCAUCGGAGUAAAAUGGGACACUUAAGUGCCACUCCGGCGAAAAUCCGGCCAAAUGGCUGACGUGGCGACUUUCCGGCGAGCUCGGUCCCAAACGGCGUCGUUUUGCACGCUGACGUGGCGGAGAAAAUGCAAAAACGACGCCGUUUCGCGUCUACGUGUAAAUAAUAGUAUAUAAAUUAAUUAAAUUAGAUUUAAAAUAUUCAAAAAAUUUAAAAAAAAUAAGAAAAAUUAAGAAAAAUUUUAAAAAUUAAGAAAAAUUUUAAAAAUUAAGAAAAAUUUUAAAAAUUAAGAAAAAUUUUAAAAAUUAAGAAAAAUUUUAAAAAUUAAGAAAAAAUUUAAAAAUUAAGAAAAUUUAAAAAAUUUAAAAAAUUAAGAAAAAUUUAAAAAAUGUUAAAAUUUUAAAAAUUUUAAAAAAUAAGAAAAAUUUAAAAAAUUAAAAAAAUUAAGAAAAUUUUAAAAAUUAAGAAAAUUUUUAAAAAUUUAGAAAAUUUUUAAAAAAUUUAAAAAAAUUAAGAAAAUUUAAUUUUUUUUACAUUAAGAAAAUUUUUAUUUUUUUUAAUUUAAGAAAAUUUUAAAAUUUUUUAAAAAUUAAGAAACUUUUUUAAAAAAAUUAAAAUUAAAAAAAUUAUAAAAAAGGGGGGAGGGGGGGGCCGAAGGGGGGGGCUCCCUUGCCCCCCCCGCCGACUCCUUAACCGCCGCCACUUCGGCCGCCGCCGCCGCCUCCCCCCCCCCCCCCCUUUUUUAAUUUUUAAAUUUUUUUAAAUUUUCUUAUUAUUAUUUUUUAAAUUUUUAAAAAUUUUUAAAAUUAAAAUUUUUUAAAUUUUAUUAUUUUCUUAAAUUUUUUAAAUUUUUUAAAAAAAAAAAAUUUAAAUUUUUUUUUAAAAUUUUAUUAUUUUCUUAAAUUUUUUUAAUUUUUUUAAAAAAAAAAUUUAAAUUUUUUUUAAAAUUUUAAAAUUUUUAAAAUUUUCUUUUUUUAAAAUUUUUUUUAAAAUUUUUUAAAAUUAAAAUUUUUAAAAUUUUCUUUUUUUAAAAUUUUUUUUUAAAUUUUUUAAAAUUAAAAUUUUUAAAAUUUUCUUAUUUUUUAAAAUUUUUUAAUUUUUUAAAAUUAAAAUUUUUAAAAUUUUCUUUUUUUAAAAAAAGUUUUAAAUUUUUUUAAAAUUUUCUUUUUUUAAAAAAAGUUUUAAAAUUUUUUAAAAUUAAAACUUUUAAUUUUUUUUAAUUUUUUUUUAAUUUUUAUGCUGAUUUGGAGCUCCGGCGAGCCACGUAGGCCAAAAAUAAUAAUAAAAUAUUGCCACGUAGGAUUUCCGGCAAGGGUCGCCGGAGGUGGCACUUAAGUGUCCCACUCGAAAAAAAAAGUGGCACUUAAGUGUACCGUUUUGAAGUUAUGGCACUUAAGUGUCCCGGCGUGCCAAGUUGUGGCACUUGUGGUGUACUUCUGCCAUUAAAAAAGAGUAGUUAUGAAUUUCUACAAAGCUUUUGAGAAUUUAGAGGUAAUAAUAAUGGUAAUAUGUUAGCAGACAGGGAGUGCCAAUGCACUGGCGCUGUUUAACAUUGAUUAAAAUUGUCCGACUUAUGCUUCGAAAACUCGAAUCAUCCCUCAUCUUUGAUUAGAGGGAGUUCGCCAUUAGGAAGCAACUUUUGAAAAUUCAGCACAAGUUGUUGCACAUCAUUUUUUAAGCACGUGAAAUAGAAGUGUCGUGUUGCUUUCGAUUUGUAUAGUCCAAUUCUUGCAUCUAGAGGAACAACAAGAUGUAAACUAUAAAACUCAAUAAGAAAAAUGGAAAACUGUGAUUAAAAAAAUACCAAUUAGCUUUUUCAAUACAUAUUAAUCGAAGGGACGAGCAACAACAGUGAGGCACCUUCUCAGUUUCUUCUCAUAAUUUCUUCAGCUCCGGUGCUUCCUUCUUUCGUUACAAUUUUUCGCGCGGUUGUCCAUUAAAGGGACCCAACAAGGACAAAAAGAAGAGAGACAAAGCAUCGGUCGUCGAAGCGUGAAGCGUGAACCAAGAAGCGACCUCUGUCGUUUCUCGCCAUUCUUUAUGGCAUCCCUGUAACAAAUUUUUAGCUUCGGCAGCUCACAUGUUUUCUCUUUUUUCUUUUUUGACAAUUUUUGCUUAUUGACUACCCCGCCAUGUGCAUUGGUCUUUCUUUUACAUUUUCUUUAGGUAGAGUUGUCUGGGCAAAAGUGUUCCAUGUAGAAGUUGUCAUUUAUCUAGGGCAUGCAUGUUUUUGUUCUUUAUUUCUGUUCUUGAACUUUUUUUUUGUUUUUUUGUUCCCAGGAACAAAAAAAGAACAGAAACGCGUUUGGUUGCGUUUCUAUUCUUUUUUUGUUUUUUUGUUCCCGAAACAAAAUAGGAACAAAAAAAAGAAACAAAAAAUUUUUACUUCUUGUUUCAGAAACAAAAAUGAAGAAACGUUUCUCUUCUUCUUUUUUUCUUCUUUUUUCUUUCGCCGGUCACCGGCCUCGGCCAUGGCCGGCGACCAGCCGUUGAGGGCCGGCGACGCCGUCGAGGGUCGGCAACCUCGCCGGAGCGUCGCCGGCCCCCGGCGAGGCCGAGCCUCGCCUUGGCUGGGCGAGCUCGGCCUCGCCCAAAUCCGGCAAGGCUCGGCGUCACCGGAUCUAGGCGAGCUCGAGCUCGCCGAGCCUCACCUUGGCUGGGCGAGCUCGAGCACGCCUAGAUCCGGCGACACCGAGCCUCGCCAGGGGCCGGCGAGCCUCGCCAUGGCUGGGCGAGGCUGCUAGCCCCGUCGGCCGGUCGCCGGAGGCCGGGGACCGGCCGAAAAAGGAAAAAAUAAAAAAGAAAGGAAAAAUUGAAAAAUAAAAUAAAAAUGUUUAAAAAAUUAAAAGAAACAAAAAAAGAAUAAAAUUUACCAAACGUGUUUCUGUUCAUUUUUUAUUCCCGAAACAAACGUUACCAAAUGCGUUCUUUUGUUAAAAAAUUGUUCCCCGGAACAUAAACACUUUUUUUUGUUUCUGUUCCCGGGAACAGAAAAGGAACAGAAACAUUACCAUGCAGCCCUUUAUCUACCAAACUUUUUCUCCGUCUCUUUCGGUGGUGAUUGUUGAAUAUGGCAGAUGAAAAGCCACGUCUUAAUCUUAUGGGUAAUCCUUCUCUAAACAUGUGAAUGAAAGAAGUGAGAGCGAGCCUCCCUCCUAAUGCUAUUUUCUCAUCCUAUGCUAUGCUACUUUGAAGGCUUUUUAUAAAUUUAUCAUAAUCUUAUUAAAAAUGGCUUUGAGGACACUAAUUAAAAAAAUCAUUUUCAUUUUCAUUAUACUAUUUGCUCAAAAUAUGAGAAAUUUUUCUACCGAAAACUUCAAAUAUCAAAAUUAAAUUCUUGGAAUAUCUCUAUCUUCCAAAUAAAUUCACACCUAUAGUAGCUUAGAAAAGCUGUGAGUGUAUUCUUUGUUUUCGUCCAGAGAAGUGCAAGACAAACCGCCAAAACUACAAAAAGUAAUCCGUUUGGAAUCUACGCCAUCAGAAAAGUUGGAGAUAAUUUCACAACUUGGUAAACUUAUGAAUACCUCAAAUCUGCCUCCCUUUGUUUCUUUGCUCCCUGGCAAGGGUUCAGCCUAUACGAUUUGCGUAAAAUGUCUAGCAAUCCCUAUGCUUGUAAACUAUACUUAUAUGGCCAAAUCAAGAUGUUGGAACACAAGUAUAUGCCCCUGCAUCUGAGGAGAUUGGUCUUGGUCAGGCUGAGGAACCUUGAGGAAUGCAUAAUUGCUAAAGGAGCCAUGCCACAUCUUUCUCAAGUUGGGGUCGAAGUCUGUCCAAAUUGAGGAAUGUAUCUAAAGGAAUCCAUGUAUGCAACACCAAGGGAGACAUUGUGGAGGCUGUUGAGAAGCCAUAUCGAAGGGAGAAAUCAAAACGAUAGAUGAGUAGUACUUGAUGACUGGCUCUAUUUAGUUGUCAAAUUUAAAGUAGUAUCUUUCAAAAGCCAAUAAUUUUGGUAGUGAAUUGCUCAGUUCGCAGAUUAAGUAGCAAUGGCAAUACACAAUAAUAACAUAACAAGAUUAAUUGGCUUGAAAUCUUCGUGUCGGAUCAAAUUUCAAACCAAAAGGCAUAGUUUGUUGAUUUUACUAGAUUUUUCCGUACCAAACCAACCAGAAUGUAUCCAUCCCAUCUUAAUCCGCUCUUUCAUGCUGUUUUAUUAGCCUUGCAUUUUUCUUGAAAAUCAUUAAAAGUAGCCUUCGACUCUGAUUUCUUUAGGGGUUAAGAUGAACAAUUUUAUAGUUGGCGCUAAAAUGGGCUCCUGACCAGUCUUUGAUUGGUUAAUUUAAGGAACCAAUUUGCGUUUUGGUGCAGGGGAUCAUUACCCUUAUUGCAAAGAAACCCUAAUCCUCUGUUCUCUCUCUGUUAGUCGCUUGUCUCAUUUCUGUCGACAAAAGGGGUCAUCAUCAACAUCUACGAUCAGGUGUCAUCAUCACCACAACCAUCGCGAAUUUCAUUGCCGUCGAAAAAACGUUAUCAAGUCAUCCUAGGUACGGUGUAAAAAUAGUCAGGUAAAUAAGUGUCGUACCGUCUUGUAACUUUCAUGCACUGAACUAAAAUCUCCUAUCGUGGACCGGCCACCUAAAAAUAGAGUCCCAUAAAAUCACUUUUUCUUUUGAAUUUAAGAAUCUCAAAUCAUAUGAAAUGCAAAUUCCGCAUCAUUUUAAUGAUUCACUUGUUUCCUGUUUGGUUAGAGUUUCGGGAGCUUUUCACAUUACCAACUAGGAGAUCACCUGUUAAUGUCAUUAAUUACAUGCAAUUGUUCGGGAUUAGGCUAAUUGUGGAUCAAAAGCAUGAACUUAACAGGUUUGGGAAGUUUGUGGGUAUGUCACGGGCUUUUAAGGAAUCUAUCCUCCAGGCCUGUGUCUAGGAUUGUGAAAAUAAAAGAAAAAAGAUGCAACCACCGCUCGUUAAUCUUUUGUAAGACUUUCAUGAAUAGAUUAAUACAAAUUACAAACAUCAUCCAAAAGUAUAAAGUUUAAUAAAGCAUAUUGCAGUCACAUGUUAAACUUUUCAAUGAUGGAGCAUUUCAUGAACAUUAUAUACUUGUGGUCCUUUUGCAUAUAACUAACCGCUAUUAUGGCAUCAUGGAUACUCACACACUCACGUUUUAGAGUCAAAAUAUUUAACCAUCAACUCAUUAUGAAACAUAUAGUUUCUAGCGGUGAGUGGUGAUGGUGAUUGUGAUGAUCCGAGCAUUUUUCAAAUGCUGCCUAUAUGAUUUAAAACAUCAUUUGAGUGCAUGAAAUAAAAGCAGCAUGUUGUUUUGGGUUUGUAUAGUUCAAUUCUUGCAUUUAGAUUAAUGAUGAGAUAUAACAUAUAAACUGAAGUAGAAAAACGAAAAAAGCGUAAUACCACUCAAAGGGACGAGCAACACGAAAAAUAUGACAAAGUAACUCCCAUGCAUCGGUCUUUCUUUACAAUUUUUCGUGCAGUUGUCCAUCAAAGGGGACCCAAAAAGACAAAAGAAAAUAGACAAAGCAUUUGGGGUCAAAACGUGAAGCACGAAGCAAGAAGCAACCUCUUUCGUCUUUCACUAUCCUUUGUAGAAUUCCUGGAACGAAUUUUUGGCUCCAAUUGCUCAUUUCUUUUUCUUUUUAUUUCUUUUAACAAUUUCUCUUGAUUGACUACUCUAUCAUGGUGCGUUGGUCUUUCUUUAGAUUUUCUUCUCUUAAAGCUGUCUGAGCAAAAGUUUUUUCUACAAAAAUUGUGAUUUAUCUAACAACCUUUUUCUCCCUCUCUUGUAAUACUAAUUGUUUAAUCUGGUAGAUGAAAGGUCACAUCAUAAUCUUAUGGUAAUCCUUAUCUAAAUAUGUGAAUGAAAGUAGCCAGAAUGAGCCAUCCCCCGAUACUACUUUAAAGGCUUUUUAUAAAUUUAUCAUAAUCUUAUUAAAGAGUCUUUCAGGGCACUCAUUAAUCGUGCCUAAUAAAGAAAGAUUGUUAUCUUCAUUAUAUUGGUUGCGCAAUAGAGAGAAAAUUUUCCACUAAAGACUCACAUAUCAAGAUUGGUUUACACAAACAUGUAUCAUAUAUUCUUAGAGUAUCUCUACUUUCCAAAUAAAUUCGCCACUUUGUUGAUUGAGAAAAGCUGUGGUUGUAUUUUUUAUUUCGUAUAGAGAAAUGUGAGAUAAUUUGCCAAAAUUACAAAAUUACUUCGUUAGGACUAUGCAUCUCCUCCCGAAAAAAACAUGAGAUAAUUCCACAACUUGAUAAACUUAUGAAUGCCUCAAAUUCGCCUCCCUUUGUUUCUUCCCUUCUUGGUGAGGGUUCGGUCUAGAUGAUUUGCGUAAAAUGUCUGGCAAUCCUAUCCUUGUAAACUAUACUUACAUGGCCAAACCAAGAAGAUGUUAGAACACAAGUAUAUGCCCCUAUAUCUGAGGAGGUUGGUCUUGGUUGGGCCGUGGAAUGGAAUGGAGAGUCACUAAAGGAGACAUGCCACAUCUUUGUCCAAAUUGAGGAUGUAUCUAAAGGAAUCCAGGUAUGCAACAUUGAGGAAGACAUUAUGGAGGCCGUUGGGAAGCCACGUCAAAGGGAGAAAUGGAAAUGCUACGUGAGUAAUACUUGGCGACUUGCUCUGUGUAGUUGUCAAAUUUAAAGCGACAUUUCUUGAAAGCUAAUAAUUUUGCUAGUGAAUUGCUCAUUUUGCAAAAUAAGUAGCAAUGACAAUACACAAUAAUAACGUAAGAAGAUUAAUUGGUUUGGCAUAACCAUGUCAAAUCUAAUUUGGAACCAUAAAGCGAAAUUUGUUGAUUUCACUAGAUUUUGCCGGACCAAACCAACCGGAACAUAUUUAUCCCAUCUUAAUUCGCUCUAUUAUGCUGUACAUUGGCAAUGCAUUUUUCUUGAAAAUUAUCAUAAUUAGCCUCGAACUCCAAUUUCUUCAAGGUUUAAGAUGAACAAUUGUGUAGUUGGGGCUAAAUUUGGCUGUUGACCAGUCUUGAAAUUGGCUAUUUUAAGUAACCAAUUUGUUCUCAUGCGCGCCAUAUAGGCUAAUAAUGUGGUGGCUAUUAACUAUUUGAUAUUUUCUUUCAGUUCAAGGUCUAAAAAUAGUUGAGAAAAUAAGUAUUGUGUCCUCUCUGUCAGUAUAAAGUUGUGUAUAGAAUAUUGCCGCCACAUGUUAAAGUAUUAAAUGGUGGAGUUUUUCAUAGGCAUUAUAUACAUGCGGUCUUUUUGCGUCUAACUAAUUGCUUUUAAACUUUUGGAUUAUAAUCUCUAAUGUCAUAUCAACAUAUUUUAGGCUCUGUUCGUUUCAUAAAAAUUAACUUCCAACAUUUUUCAGAUCUUUCAGGAUUCGUUUAAUGGAAAAUAAAUUAGUUGUGGAAUAUAUUUUCCAUCAAGGAAAAAAAGUAUUGUAAAAGAGGAUAAAAUAUUUUCCACUUUUAAAAUUUGGGAAAUAUAUUUUUCUUACUUGCUCUCUCUGUUAUCUCAUACCUUACUCGCCUCCUUCUUUCUUGUUUUCUUUUCUAAUAAUUCGUAUUUUAAAUUAUUUUUCUUUUUAUUUUAUCUUGUCUUAAUUAUUUUUCUUUUUCUUUUUUUCCACCUUCUUCUUUGGUCAAUCCCCGGCACGGCUACGACUGGCGAUCGGCCAAAGGUGAGCCUGGAGCUUGCUGGCCUUGGGCCCUGGGCCUCGCAAUUUAUCCUUAAUAUUGUAUAGUUGAAUGUAAUUAACAUGGACGAGUGUGACCAAUUUGUGUGCGUGUUUAUGAGAAGGCAUGAGCCAUGAUAUAUCUUACAAUAGAUAUGGUUUGUUUUUGCACCACAAGAAACAAAAUUGUUGCUAUGAAAAGUAUGACGAUGAAUUGACGCCGCAUAAAGCAAAAAUAUGAUUAUUAAAGUUGAAUUAUUGCCAUUAGCCCAUGGGAAGCCAAUCUUCUUUUGACGGCACAUAAAGCAUUAAUAUGAUGCUGAAUCAUUGCUCAUAGGCCGUGUGAAACGAAUCUUCUUUUGACGGGACAUGAAGCAAAAAUGUGAUGGUGAAUUAUUGCUCCUAGCCCAUGUGCCAUUACUCAUAAGCCAUCGUCAAAAUAGUUAGCCGUGGACGGUAGUGAUGAUGAUGAUCCGAGCAUUUUUUAAUUGUGGCCACCUGUUUGACAAAAUUAUUGUUCAAGCGCAUGAUGAUGCCCGUGUGAUUUAAAUUAUUGUUCAAGCGCAUGAAAUAGAAGUGGCAUGUUGCUUUUGGUUUGUAUAGUCCAAUUCUUGUGCAUAGAUGAAUAAUGAGACAUAAAAUAUAAAACUCAACAAGAAAAGUGAAAAACCGCGAUUAAGAAAACGCCAAUUGGCUUUUACAAUACACAUUAAUCAAAGGGACGAGCAACAUGCAAAAUACGACAAAGCAAAGGCAAUUGAAACAGCGAGGCACCUCCUCAGGUUUUCUCUCAUAAUUUCUUCAUGUCUCGUGCAUCGGUCUUUCUUUACAAGUUUUCGUGCAGUUGUCCAUCUAGGGGACCCAAAAAGACAAAAAGAAAAGAGACAAAGCACUGGGGGUCGAAACGUGAAGCAUGGAGCAAGAAGCAACCUCUCGUGUUUCGCAUUUCUCUGAAGAAUUCUUGUAAUGAAUUUUCCGCCGCGACUGCUCGUUUAUUUUUAUUUUUAUUUUUCUUUUCUUUUGACAAUUUCUGUUCCUGUAGAAGUUGUCAUUUAUCUAACCAACUUUUUCUCUGUCUCUUGCGGUGUUAAUUGUUGAAUCUGGCAGAUGAGAAGUCACGUUAUAAUCUUAUGAUAAUCCUCCAAACAUGUGAAUGAAAGGAGGAAAAGUGAGCCUCCCUUCUUUGCUACUUUGCAGGCUUUUUAUAAACUUAUUAGAAUCUUAUUUAAGAGUGCUUUAAGGACAAUCGUUAAUCAUGUCUAUUAAAGACAGGUUGUUACUUUAAUUAUUGAUUGCACAAUAGGUGAGAAAUUUUCCACUAAAAACUUUCACAUACUUUUAGAGUAUCUCUUACUUCCAAAUAAAUUCGCCCAUUUAUCGGUUGAGAGAAGCUGUGAUUGUAUUCUUUGUUUCUUCCAAAGAAAUGUGAGAUGAAUUGCCAAAACUACAAAAGUAGUCCGUUUGGGAUCCGCGUCUCCUAAAAAUCAGGAUAUAAUAUUAUGACUUGGUAAAUUCACGAACAUCUUGAAUCCGCGUCCCUUUGUUUCUUUGCUCCUUGGCAAGGGUUCAUCCCAGACAAUUUAUGUAAAAUGUCUAGCAAGCCAUUUGGUUGUAAACUAAUAUGGCCAAAUCAAGAAGAUGUUGGAACACAAGUAUUUGCCCUGACAUCUAAGGAGGUUGGUCUUGGUUAGGCCGCGGAAUUUAUAGGAAUGCAAAAUUGGUAAAGGAGCCAUGACACGUCUUUCUCAAGUUGGGUUUGAAGUCUAUCCAAAUUGAGGACUGUAUCUAAAGGAAUCCACGUAUGCAACACCGAUGGAGACAUUGAGGAGGCCGUUGGGAAGCCAUAUCGAAGGGAGAAAUCAAAACACUACGUGGGUAGUAUUUGACGACUUGCUCUACCUAGUUGUCAAAUUAAAAAAAAAAAAAUUCCUCUAAAGCUAAUAAUUUUGGUAGUGGAUUGCUCAGUUUGCAAAUUAAGUAGCAAUGGCAAUAGACAAUAAUAAGUAAGAAGAUUAAUUGGCUUGAAAUCUUCAUGUCAAAUCAAAAUUCAAACAAAAAUUCAAAAUAUGUUGAUUUUACUAAAUUUUGCCUUACCAAACCAACCGGAAUAUGUCCAUCUCAUCUUAAUUUGCUCUUUUAUGCUGUUUAUUAGCCUUGCAUUUUUCUUGGAAACUAUUAAAAGUAGCCUUCGACUCCAAUUUCUUCAAGGGUUAAGAUGAACAAUUUUUGUAGUUGGUGCUAAAAUUGGCCGCUGACCAGUCUUUGAUUGGUUAAUUUGAGGAACCAAUUUGUGUUUUGGUGUAGAAGAUCAUUAGCCACAUCGCAAAGAAACCCUAAUCCUCUGUUCUCACUCUAUUAGUCGCUUGUCUCAUCUCCGUCAACAAAAGGGAUCAUCAUCACCAUUUACGAUCAUUGUAGUCUGACGUAAUCAUCACCCCAGCCAUCACGAAUCUCAUUGCGAUCGAAAAAGGGUUAACGCGUCGUCCUAGGUAUGUCUAAAAAUAGUCGUGAAAAUAAGUGUCCUACCAUCUUCUAACUUUCAUUCACUAAACUAGAAAUCUCUUACCGUGGACUGGCCACCUAAAAAUAGAGUUCCAUAAAAUCACUUUUUCUUUUUAAUUUAAGAAUCUCAAAUCAUAUGAAAUGCAAAUUCUGCAUCAAUUUAACAACUCUCUUAUUUCAUGUUUGAUUAGAGCUUCCAAAGCUUUUCACUUUGCAAAUUGGGAAAUCGCUAUACUCAUGUCAUUAGUUGCAUGUAAUUUUUCUGGAUUAGGCCAAUUUUAUAGAUCAAAAGCUUGAACAUAACGGGCUUGGGAAGUUUGUAGGGUAUUUCACAGGCUUUUAAGGAAUCUGUCCUCCAUGCAUGUGCCUUAGGUUGUGAAAAUGAAAAGAAAAAAAAUGUAACAACCACUCAUUAAUCUUUUGUAAGACCCUGCAUGAAUAGAUAAAUACAAAUUAUAAAUAUCAUCCACAAGUAUAAAGUUGUAUAAAGCAUGUUGCAGUCACAUGUUAAACUUUUCAAUGAUGGGGCUUUUCAUAGGCAUUAUGUACAUGUGGUCCUUUCCAUUUAACUAAUUGCUUUUAAACUUUUGGAUAAUAAUUUCUAAUCUGACAUCAUAAAUACCCACCGCACUUACAUUUUUAGAGUCAAAACAUUUAACUGUCAACUCAUUGCUAAAAUCACUAUAGCUUUUUCCUAAAUCUUCGAAAUGUGAGAAAUGCACAUAUAAAAUUUGCAAAUUAUAUAAGCAGUUCAAUCAUCGCCAUUUACCCUUAAUUUUGUAUAAUUGAAUGUAAUUAACAUGGACAAGUGUGACUAAUUUGUGUGCGUGUUUAUGAGAAGUAGAUAUAAAAAAUAGUGUCCUCACAUGGAGAUGGAGAACUUGGAGAAUGCAUGCAUCGCUCUUAAUCAAUCUAACCCCAUGAGUAGACCUAGACAAAAUUAAGUUUAAUCUGUUAUUAUAGUAGAAUCAACUCUAUGCACACUUGAUGACAUCGACUGUCUUCACUGGUCUAAGAGUUGUAAGGCAUUGACGUAGGAAUAGGCCAACUAGGGUUGCUCAUGACCAGAUCAAUUUAGUUUUACUUUAGCAGGGUUGAAAUAGGUGCCGCCUGUGGGCUUGUGCUUACUCUUGAUUGUUGGUAUUUAGAAGCCAUCUUGUAAGAUCCACUUGGGCUAGACAGCAUAGGAAAAUCAUAUAAGAUUUUUCUUUAUUAAAAAAAAUAAACUUGCGCCCUAUACCAGACAUAUAGAGAAUGAAAUUUUGUGAUUGUCAUGUUGCAACAUGAAGAUAUAAUGUUUUUAUAAAUGUCAAGGAAUCACGGUACAUAGAUUAUAUGAUUUGAUGUGUGAUAUGCUUCAAGCAUAUCAAAAGAGGAGAGCUGGAUUUGUACAAAUUAUAGUCAAAACAGAGGGGAAAAAAGCUAGGGAAAGUUUCAUGUUCCAAAGUAAGUGCUGGAUUUGUGCAUCAAAGAAGUUGUGGUGAUGAUUAAAAACUUAAUAUAUCUCUAAACACAAGAUCUCACGCCUUCAUAGCCAAGUGUAGAAGGGAAAUUGCCAUGACUCUUUGAAUGGCCAAAAAGUUGUGCCCCUUCUUUACCGUUGGAUGUGCAAGAGAUGCAUCAUCGUUCGGGAGACAACAAACCCUCACCAUUAGAUCGACAAUUGGAUUUUGCUUGAUAACUUUGUCAUGCAAAAUUCCACGGCGCGUUAAGAAGGUCUUGCAUUAUAUUAAGUAAAAAGAUGGUAAAUCCAAUGCCAAGAUUAUAGUCUCUCUCCCUUCACUUAGGCUUCUCAAUGUGAAGCUGGCCAUUAUUGACUUAUAACAAUAGAAAAUUCCAUUAAUGAAGCUUGAUGGAACUAGUACAAUGGCUAAUGAGACGAAACAUUUAAUCGAUAUUUCCAGUUGUUUGUCCAGAAAAAGUGGGAUAUGUAAAGUCCGAAACACCGCAAUUCGUUAUUUUUUUUCUGACUUUAAUUUUGUACACCAACAGUGUGAAAAAAAUCAUUACACAAGCUUAGUUCAAGCACUAACAUGUAUACCGUAUUUAAUUUUAAUAAAAUGAAUGCAUUCCAUUGAUGUCCCAUUUUAUCAUUGCUUGUUUGGGUCUUCAAAUGUUUGCUUGUUGUUAAUUGUGGUGUAAACAAUGGAAUUGACGAUCAAUUUAGUCGAAAGUUCAAUAUUUUAUUGUGGGUCUCAAACUCGGGCAACAAGUUAGAUCGCCACCUCAAGCUCAGCUUAGCUAACAUCAUCUCUAAAAUUGAUUGUAUCAUAUUUAUACCCAAAGCAUGUCUUUUCUUUUUGGCCAUUGAGUAUAAUAGUUUUGAAGUUCAGUCAUAAAUUAUCAUAAUUUAUCCAUUCUGCAAGUUGUCUUUCUCGUUUGUUCAUUUUUCCCAUCAUCCUUGUGGAUUAUUUAAUUGUAAUUCUGAAAAAAAAAAAAAUCUUCGACUCCUAUUCAACCGAGGGUUACUUUGACUCUCGAGAUAACGAAUUUACAAUGGAUUGAUGGGGUUUAAAAUUGAAGAACAUACACAGAAAAUUCAAAAGGAAUGAGUACGCAUAAGUAAUAAAGCGACGGAUGUUUCUAUAAAAGAUUGCAGGUAUUAAAUAUUAUACUUUUAAUUGAAUCUUUCAACGCAGUGGACUAGUAAUUUCUGAAAAAAAAAUGUAUGGCUCCAAUCUAGCUCAUGCACCUUUCUAGCGAAUUGAUACUUUAUGGCUUCAAAUUGGUUUCUUGGAGUUAGUUAAAUUAAAUAUCGGCUAAAAGAAUCAAUUAGCGUAAAUCAGAGAGUACAAAUACCAAUUUGGUCAAAAUUCAAUUUCAAGGACCAAAUUGAACAUUAACUAAAAUUUUAGGGGCGAACUUUCAUUUUUGCUCUCAUCCUUGUGGGCUUGAAAUGCAGAAUCUCUUCUAUUCCGCUUGCUGUAGAGAGAGCUCGUGACUUGCUCGUAAAAGAUGCAAAAUUCUUGCGGGAAGUGAAGGAAAUGCGAAGGACGUUGAUGCGAGACAAGUUGAAAUGAGAGUCAUUGCUCAUGGCGUCGUGUCAAAGUCGAUGGUAAAAGAGGGAAGAUCCAAGUAUUUUCGACUCCCUGCAAGGGGCUUGACAAAAUGCCCAUGUGAGUUGAAACAGUGUUUGAGCUCCCGUAAUAGAGGUGGCAUGUCGCUUUGGGUUUGGAUAGUUUAAAUCUUGCGUUUGGAUGAACAAUGACGUAAAAAAUAAGCUCAACAAGAAAAAAGAAAAAUCGUGAUUAAGAAAAGACCAAUUGGCAUUUCCAAUAUAUCUUAAACGAAGGGAUGAGCAACAUGGAGAAAAACGACAAAGCAACGGUGGUUGAAGCAUUGAGGCACCUUCUCAGGUCUCUUCUUAGUUCUUAUAAUUUAUUCAGCUCCUGUGCUUUGGUCUUUCUUUUCAAUUUUUCGUGCAGUUGUCCACCAAAGGUACCCAAAAAGACAAAAAAAAGUUAAAGAGAAAAACAAGAGACAAAGCAAUUGGUGGUCGAAACGUGAAGCAUGAUGCAAGAAGCAANNNNNNNNNNNNNNNNNNNNNNNNNNNNNNNNNNNNNNNNNNNNNNNNNNNNNNNNNNNNNNNNNNNNNNNNNNNNNNNNNNNNNNNNNNNNNNNNNNNNNNNNNNNNNNNNNNNNNNNNNNNNNNNNNNNNNNNNNNNNNNNNNGUCGUCCGGGCGAAAGUAUUUCCUGUAGAAGUUGUUUAUUCCUCCUUUUGGAUGCUAAUCAUUGAAUCUGGGAAAGGAGAGGUCGCAUCAUAAUGUCAUGGAAAACCUUCUCUAAACAUGUGAAUGGAAGCAAUGAGAGGGAGCGAGGGAAGAGGGAGAACCUUCCUCCGGCCACUUUCGACAGCUUUUUAUCAAUUUAUUAGGAUCUUAAUAAGGAAUCAUUCCCCAAUACUUAUUAGUCGUACCUAACAGAAUUUUUUUUCAUUUUCAAUGUACUAAUUAUACAUAACACAAGAAAACGAUGGUUUGAAAAUGAAAUAUUCUUUUAGUGGAUACAUAACAAGUAUCUUUAAAGCACUCAUUCAUAAAAUUCAAUUUGUAAGGAGCAAUCUCUUACAUUUCAUUUCUAGUAUAGUGAAAAUAUGUCAUGUCUUCGUGUUUAUGUCGAGAACUUUUGAUGAAGUUCCCAUUAAGACUUUUUGUCAAUAAAAAUUAUAAAUUUAGUUGGGUAGGCUUAUUUUAUCAAGGCUGACUCUUCCUAUAGUCCAUAGAUGUUACUUUGUAGGGUCCUCGAGUUUUUAUUAUAUUUAAAGAAUAAAGCUAGAGAUAUAAUUGAUUUACAAAGGGAUGUAUUAUAUACUCUUGCUAAUGACAUGCAACGAAAGCUGAGCACUUUGCAUGUUCACCGAGAAGGCUAAUCACAUUCAUCCAAUUCUUUCGCACAAACAACUUCGACCUAUAAAGAUUGGUUUAUAAAGAGAUGUAUUGUGUACUCUUGGGGUAUCUCCAUUUUUUUUUAAUAAAUUCUGCAUUGCCUAUUCAGAAAAGCUGCAAUUAUAUUCUUUGGGGAAUCUAAAGACGUUGUGGAAGUUUGGCUAGAGAAAUGUGAGGUGAAAGAUUUAAUCAAAAUCCCAAAACUACAAAACUUGUCCAUUCGCAAUUCCUGUGGUCCCAGAAAGCUGGAUAUAACUCCACAACUCGGUGAAUCUACCUUCACACACCUCAGUUUGAUCUCCUUUUGUUUCAUCACUCCUUGGAAAGGAUUCAGACUAGAUGAUUUGCAUAAAACGUCGAGUAAUUCAAUGCUUGUAUAUUAUACUCACAUAGAUGAAUGGAGAAUUGGCCGGAAUACAAGUAUCGACCCCUGCAUAUGUGGAGCUUGGUCUUGGCUAGGAUGGGGCAUUUAGAAGGAAGGAGAGUUCCUAAAGGAACCAUGCCAUGUCUUUGUAAGUUGGGAUCAAUGUUUGUCCCAAAUUGAGGAUUGAACCCAAAGGAUCUACAUAUGCAACAUCGAGGAAAAAAUUGUGGAGGCCAUUGAAAAGCCGUAUAGAAGGAUCGACAACCCAAAAAAGGGUUCCAUUAAAAUUGUUUUAUGACUUUCAGAGCAUAUAUCCCUAUAUUUAGAGAAUGAAGUAUAGAGAUAUGAAAAUUGGUUUACACGUACUGUAUACUCUUGUUGGUGACAUGCAGCACAAGCUAAGUACUCUUGAGAAGGCUAAUCACAUUCAUCCAAUUCUUUCUCACUAGCAACUUCCACAUCUAAAUAUUAAUUUACAAAGAGAUGUACACUCUUGAGGAUUCUCCAUCUUCUAGAUAAAAUUCUGCAUUAUCGGUUAAAGAAGCUAUGGCUGUAUUCUUUGUAGAAUCUAAAGAAGUUAAGGAAGUUUGUUCAAAGAAAUGCAAGGUGAAAAAUUUAAUCAAAUUGCCAAAAUCAUAAAAGUUGUCUGUUUGGAAUCUGCGUGGUCUGGAAAAACGGAUAUAUUCCAAAACUUGGUGAAACUACCUUUAAACCCCUCGAAUUUGCCUCUUUUGUUUCGUUGCUCCUUGGCAAGUGUUUAGACUAAAUGAUUUGCAUAAAAUGUCAAACAAUUUCUAUGCUUGUAAACUAUACUUAUAUAGUCGAAGAUGAGAAUUUGCCAGAGCACAAGUAUAUACCCCUGCAUCUGAGGAGGUUAGUCUUGGUCAGGUAGUGGAAUUUAUAGGAAAGGAGGUCCGUCCCAAAUUUAGGACUGAAUCUGCGUAUGCAACACCGAGGAAACAUAGUUAACGCCAUUGGAAAGCCGCACGAAAGGACUGACCUCCCACAAAAAGGGUUCUGUAAAAAAAAUUCUGAACCUAAUCUCAAACAAAAAGUCUCAAUUUCCAAUUAGGAUUAAACAUUAACAUGUCAAGCUUUUUGAUCUGCAAAAUCUUGGUAAUUUUGACAGCUCUCUUGUUCAGUUUGGGCAUCAAGAAAUUUCCACAUCACAAUUGAGAGGUUGCCCACUAAAUUUCACCAAUUGCAUAUAAAUUAUUUUGAAUUUGACCACUUAUACUCGUCAAAGGCCUGAACUUAACAGGAUUGGGGGAUUUAUAUAGUGUUCCAUGGGCUUCUAGAUAAAUCAACUUCUAUGCCUAUGCCCUUGGAUCAUCAAAAAAAGAAAAACAAAUGCAACAACCUCUCACCAAUUUUUUUUAAAGAAUUUUACAAUAAUAGAUAAUACAAAUUACACAUAUCAUCCAUUAAUAUAAAGGAGUACAUAGCAUUUUGCAAUCACAUGUUAAAGUAUUCAAAAGUGUUUCUCUUAUAAAGCCAUGAUUAUAAACAUGUUGUCCUCCUCCAUAUAACUUAUUACUUUUAAGCUUUUGGAUUAUAAAUUUUAAAACGAUAUUGUGGAAACCACACUUACAAUCUUGAAUCAAAACAUCUAACUAUCAACUAAUUGCAAAAUGGCUUAAGCACUUUGCUAAAUCUUCAAGUAAGGAGGUUUUCCUUUUUCUCAAAAUUUUCAUUAUUUUCAUGAUGAGUCGUUAUGAGAGAAGUGAAGACAUAGAGUUUUCAAAUUAUAUGAUCAUCACAACUUACCCUUAAUUUGAGGAGUUGAUUUAAUUAACAUUACGAGUCUCGCCGGUUUGUGGACGCGUCCAUGGGAUGGUACGGACCAGGAUAACACAUCUGUGAUGGUUUGUUUUCCCGCCAGAAGAAACAAAAAAGUUGCCAUUAGCAUAAGUCCAUGUCAAACCCAUCUUUUGAGGGCACAGUGAACGGGAAUAUGUUCCUUUCGACAGCACAUUAAACGAAAAUUUGAUUCCUUUUGAUGGCACAUAAAAUGAAAAAUAUGAUGGUGAACUACCGCGAUUAUUUGCUCAAAAGAAAAAAAAAAAGAAAAACUACCGCGAUUAGCCCAUGGGAAACUAAUCUGGAAGCUGAACUCUUUGCUAUCAGCCCAUGUGAAACCCAUCUUCUGAGGGCACGCCGAAUGAAAAUAUGGUUCCUUUUGACUGCACAUUAAACGAAAAUUUGACUCUUUUUGACUUCACACAAAACGAAAAAUAUGACGGUUAAUUACCGCGAUUAGCCCAUGGGAAACCAAUCCAGAAAAUACAUAUUAUAUAUGAUGCUGAACUCUUGCCAUCAGCCCAUGUGAAACCGCGUGAAAUCAAUUUUAAAAUAAUUAUGAUGCUGAACUAUUGCUAUCAGCCUAUGCGAAGCCAAAAAAGUUUUCGUUCCCGACGUCACAGGGCGGAUGAAAUAGCAGCUUCUUUUUGAACGGCCUAUUUUAACUCUAACCUAAGACCAACGGCAGCUAGCAAUUGAGCACCUGCAAAAUCUCUGCCAUAAGCUCAACUGAUCAUUAUCAAGUGGUGAAUACCAAUGGCCGAGUCUGUUGUUUCGUUCGCGGUGGAGACAAUAGGAAAGCUGCUCAUCGACGAGCCCAAAUUCUUGAGGGGAGUGGAGAGCAAGGUCGAGGACCUGCAAAGGGAGUUGAAGCUGAUCCAGUGCUUGCUGAGGGAUGCGGAUGCGAGACGAGAGCACAACGAAGCUGUUGGAGAAUGUGUCGCACAACUCCGAGACUUUGCCUAUGAUGCCGAGGAUGUCAUCGAGAGAUACAUCCUCAAAGCCGCGCUGAAGGAGGGACAAAACAUCAUCAAAGCGUAUGCUUGCUUCAUGGCGAAGUGCUCGUGCGUGCAGGUUCAUGGGGUGGGGACACAGAUUGAGGGCUUAAAAUCCAGAAUUUCCGAUAUUGGAAGGAGGAUGCAGAAUUGUGGCAUACUAUCUGUGAGGGAAGGCAAACGCGAACGAGCGAGAGCUUUGAUGCCGAAACGGACUUAUGACCAUAUCAAGGAGGAUUUUGUUGGGAGGGAAGAUAGCAUCGAGGAAUUGGUGAAAGAGCUGUCGAAUGAUGGACAAAAGCAGAGAGUUAUUUUUAUAUGGGGAAUGGGUGGUCUGGGAAAGACUUCACUCGCCAAGAAAGUCAUCGCUCAUGACAAAGUGAAGAACACUUUCGAUGGUAUCGCUUGGGCUUGUAUAUCUCAAGAAUAUAAUCCGAAGGAUAUCUUAGUGGGAAUUCUUGUUAAAUUGAUCCCUGAUCAAAGAGAGAGGGCUAUGAAGAUGAUGGAUGAUGAAUUGUUCAAAACUCUAUACGAGAUCCAACAAGAGAAGAGAUGUAUGGUUGUUCUGGAUGAUAUUUGGACCAAAGAGGCAUGGGACAGUCUUCAAGCCGCAUUCCCGAUCAAAAACAUGAGAAGCAAGCUAUUGAUAACAACCCGCAAUAAAGAAGUAGCGGAGUAUAUCGAUCCUCAAGGUUUAUUCCAUGAACCACGGUGCUUAUCAAACCAAGAGAGUUGGGAUCUACUAAAGAAGUGGGCAUUCCUCGAAACAAAAGGUAAGACUUCUUCAAGGUUAUUAUCCUAAUAUAUAGUAGCUUCAAGAGAUAAUAUUGCCUGCUUGAUUCUGAUUUAUGGCGCAUCGAUUAUCAUUGUAGGAUUAGCUGAUGAAAUUUCUUCUUAUGGACCUGGAGUUGGUCAAGGUAUUGUUGCGGGCCAAGCUGUAGAAGGUAUCGCAAAACAGUCAGAAACGGAGGGACAAUUACUAGGUACUUCAUUGCUCAGUUUCACCUUUCGGUAGCUUUAGCAAUUUAUGAAUCAAUAGUUAUAGUGGAAUUCAAAUGAUCGAAAUAUCAAGCAUUAGGCACCAUAAAUUCAAUAUUUGGGGAAUCAGAUGUCUCUUUUGUUUCUUACUAGCUAACCAAUAUACAAUUAAACCAAAAUCCAAAACUUUGCUCCUCCUUUCUAAUGAGGUUAAAUAUUGAAGAGGCUUUUAUAAGGAUAAAUAAUAAGCGAUUUUGAUAGGAUUUAUGAAAUAAUGUGAAGCUUGGCUAUGUUACUUCUUCCGUAAGCUUCAUCUCAAGUCCACCUCUUUUGCAAUUGUGAAUAGUUGGCUUAAAAAUAAGAGUAGAGAUUGAUAAGGAAAAUCAUGAAUCGUUAUGUGGCAACAUGGAGAUUUCACUCGAAUUUGUGUAGGAGAUUAGUAGCACAUUCAAGUGACGAGAUCACACUCGAGUAAUCCUUGCGCUACUUUCAUAUUUCUUCAUCAAGUAUUUUUAUUGUUGUUUUGCAUUUGCUUGAGUCACUUAAUUCAAGCCACAGUUUAGACUUCUUGAUUUUCCAAGGCAUAGAUGGAGGCAUAUACAAGAGCUUUGUUGUGGUCCCUAUUUUCCCCUUACAAAAACAUAAAUGAACCACAAAUUAUAAAGAACUAUAGCGUCUUACUUAUACGUCUAAAAGCAUAUAUUCGUCCUUGAAGUAAUCUUUUUAUUACAGUUGAAUCUUCCUAUUGCUGAGUUGCAAUUUGUUGCCUGAUAUUGUGUAGUAAUCACCGAAGACAUGAAGAACUUAGCAUAUGAACUCCUUAAGAAGUGUGCAGGAUUGCCCUUGGCUAUUAUUGUGCUUGGUGGAUUGCUGGCUGUCGACGAGUGGAAGACGAUUCACGAAAAGAUCAAUUUGCAUUUUAGUGAUAAGAGUGACGUAUCAAAAGUGUUAGCCUUAAGUUAUGACGAUUUGCCAUGGCAUCUAAAGCCAUGCUUCCUCUAUUUGAGUAGCUUUCCUGAGGAUGCAGAAAUCCCUGCAACCAAAGUUCUUUACAUGUGGAUUGCUGAAGGCUUUGUGUUGCUGAAUGCAUACGACAAAGAGAGAGAAAUUUCAAUGGAAGAGGUAGCGGAGCAAUAUUUAACGGAGUUGGUUAAUAGGGGAAUGGUUCAAGUGCGAUUCAAAUUAAGUGGAAAGAUCAAAAGCUACCACCUCCACGACUUGAUGCGAGACUUAUGUGUCUCCAAGGCUCUACAAGAGAGUUUUCUAAGCAUUCUUAACAUUCAACAGGACAAUGAGACAGAGAAUUGUUCCGCUUCAAUGGCAACAAAAGUCGAGUCAAGUUGCAAAAUACGAAGGCUUUCUCUUAAUAGAAAUGUGGUUCCGAGCUUAAAAGCAUCAAGAAGGACUCUGGUCCACCUUCGAACUCUCAUGUCCUUCGGAGGUGUCACAUGGGAGUCGAAGCAAUUUCAAUCUAUUUUUAAAGACUAUAAGUUUCUUAGAGUUCUGAAACUAGAGAAGCUUUGUGUGAUGAGAAGCUUACCUAAAUCAGUGGGAGACCUAAUCCAUUUAAGAUUCUUAAGUUUAGCAGGUAGUAGGUUUAAUGGCUUGCCGCAAUCUAUGGGGAACCUUGUAUGUAUGGAAUUCUUGGACCUGCUUGUAGGAGAAUGGGUUAGAUUUUGCAUGCCAAAUGUGUUGUGGAAGAUGAGAAGGUUGAGGUAUCUCCGUCUUCCUUACGACUUUGAUGUCAAGGAGAAAUUCCAUGGGGCCCGGAAGAAGUUGCGGGUGGGCACUUUAAAGAAUCUAUGGACAUUGAGAAAGUUCAGUCCGAAGAAAUGUGAUGUGAACGAUGUAGGCAAGCUUACCAAUCUGCAAAAAUUGACCGUCUGUGACAACUUUCGUCCUAUCGAGCUAAAGAUAUUUCAGCAACUUGCUGAAUUCAAUUUGAAUUAUCUUCAAUCCUUGUCUUUUUAUUUCAAAACUUAUCAUUUUUUAUGGACUGAAGAUGAAUUGAAUAAAAUGUCAAACUAUCCCUAUUCUUGUAAGCUAUCCAUUUUUGGAAAUAUAGAGAAGUUACUAGAACAUAAAAGUCUACCCGAGCAAUUGAGGAAGCUGGUCUUGGUAUCUUCUCAACUCAAAGAAAAUCCGAUGCCAAUAUUGGAGAAAUUACCUCACUUGGUUGUUCUCGUGUUGGGAUAUGAGGCUUUCCAGGGAAAGAAAAUGGUUUGCUCUGCAGGAGGCUUUCCUCAACUCAAGCAUUUAUUUUUUGAGUAUUUGUUAAAAUUGGAGGAGUGGAGGGCCGCUGAAGGAGCCGUGCCUCAUCUUUCUCGAUUAGGGAUCGUCCGCUGUCCCAAAUUGAGGGUGGUACCUUCACAUGUCUCUACAUAUGACAUUUAACGACGAAAUAUGGAAGGAGAGGAGGAAGUGCCGCGUGUGAGAGAGGGAUAUUGAAGUGGGUGGCGAAGGGUGGCCCCAGCUGUCCGGCGAGAGAGGAGGGAGGGGCGCGUGAGCCUGUGGGUUGUUAGGGGGGUGGGCCCCCCAGAAUAAAUAAUCUAAUCUCAUUAUAUCAUUGAGUGAAAAUAGAGAGUAUUACUGUAUUAUGGCAUAUUCCUUGACAAAUUAGUUUCCAUGUCAAGUCUUUCCAUCAUAAAUCGUCAUUCCUUUCGUUUUCCCUCUCAUCCCUGAGGUGGGGGGUGGAACCUGCUGUUUCACGCUCGCUGUCGAGAGAACUCACCGACUUUGCUCAUGGAAGACAGCAAAGUUCUCGCGAGCGCCGCGACGAGGAGGAGGAGGAGGAGGAUGAGGAGGAGGAGCGAAUUUGUUGCUUCUCUAAAAGACGCUUGAUGGGGGGAGGCAUCUGAAGAAAUAAGAGUCGAAACUUGUCGUGGCGUUGGAAGACGUCAUCGUGGAAGCUGCUGCCUUAGAGAGGAGAGGAGAUCCCGAUCAUUUGCAUAAUGCUGGUCAGAUGUUUGACGAAAUGCGGAUGUGGAGUAGGAACUGGGGUACAUUUAUCUGAAAUGGGCGCGUUGCUUUCGGCUUGUGCAAUUGAUUUCUUCGUAUAUAGAUAGACGAUGACGAGAAAUACAACGGUACAUUUUGCAUCUCCCAAUCUCCUACGUUUUUGUUUUUAUCAGUAUCGACUGAACAAUUACAUAUGUUACCUGUUGGAAUGCAGGAGCAUCCCCAGUGGCAGAUUAAGAGUGGGUUUGUAUAUUUUCAGAAGGC